rnacentral:rRNA from 1 species
UACGUAGGGUGCGAGCGUUGUCCGGAAUUACUGGGCGUAAAGAGCUCGUAGGCGGUUUGUCGCGUCUGCUGUGAAAUCUGGAGGCUCAACCUCCAGCCUGCAGUGGGUACGGGCAGACUAGAGUGCGGUAGGGGAGAUUGGAACUCCUGGUGUAGCGGUGAAAUGCGCAGAUAUCAGGAGGAACACCGAUGGCGAAGGCAGGUCUCUGGGCCACUACUGACGCUGAGAAGCGAAAGCAUGGGGAGCAAACAGG